rnacentral:rRNA from 1 species
GUCUAAUACUUAAAAAGGUAGAAAGCACUGGUUCUCGUCCGAUCACCGAAAUUAAGCUACGUUGGGCCCGGUUGGUACUUGCAUAGGCGACCGGCUAGGAAUACCGGGUGUUACUGACG